rnacentral:rRNA from 1 species
UGAAUACGAAAUGCUACGGCAUUGAAGUGAUCUAUGCCAGGCUUCCAAGAAAAUCUCGUCAUAUCUUAAGCAGUAGAUGCCUGUACCUUAAACCGACACAGGUAGGUAGGUAGAGUAUACCAAGGGGCGCGAGAUAACUCUCUCUAAGGAACUCGGCAAAAUAACCUCGUAACUUCGGAAGAAGAGGUACCCUUGAAAAAGGGUUGCAAUAACCAGACCCUGGCGACUGUUUACCAAAAACACAGGUCUCCGCUAAUUCGUAAGAUCAAGUAUGGAGGCUGACGCCUGCCCAGUGCCGGAAGGUUAAAGAAGUUGGUCAAUCUUUGGAUGAAGCUGGCGACUGAAGCCCCGGUGAACGGCGGCCGUAACUAUAACGGUCCUAAGGUAGCGAAGUUCCUUGUCGGGUAAGUUCCGACCCGCACGAAAGGCGUAACGAUCAGGGUGCUGUCUCGGAGAGAGACUCGGCGAAAUAGACCUCUGUGAAGAUGCGGACUACCUGCACCUGGACAGAAAGACCCUAUGAAGCUUUACUGUAUCUUGGAAUUGGGUUUGGGCCUUGCUUGCGCAGGAUAGGUGGGAGGCUGUGAAGAUAUUCUUGCGGGAAUGUUGGAGCCAACGGUGAGAUACCACUCUAGUAAGGCUAAAAUUCUAACUCUGAACCGUUAUCCGGUCAGAGAACAGUUUCAGGUGGGCAGUUUGACUGGGGCGGUCGCCUCCUAAAAGGUAGCGGAGGCGCGCAAAGGUUCCCUCAGGCUGGUUGGACAUCAGUCGUAGAGUGUAAAGGCAUAAGGGAGCUUGACUGCGAGACCCACAAGUCGAGCAGAGACGAAAGUCGGCCUUAGUGAUCCGACGGUUCCACGUGGAAGGGCCGUCGCUCAACGGAUAAAAGUUACUCUAGGAUAACAGGCUGAUCUCCCCCAAGAGUUCACAUCGACGGGGAGGUUUGGCACCUCGAUGUCGGCUCAUCGCAUCCUGGGGCGGUAGUACGUCCCAAGGGUUGGGCUGUUCGCCCAUGAAAGCGGUACGCGAGCUGGGUUCAGAACGUCGUGAGACAGUUCGGUCCAUAUCCGGUGCAGGCGUUAGAGCAUUGAGAGGAGUCCCCCUUAGUACGAGAGGACCGGGGGGAAUACACCGCUGGUGUACCAGUUAUCGUGCCAACGGUAAACGCUGGGUAGCCAUGUGUAGCGCGGAUAACUGCUGAAAGCAUCUAAGUAGGAAGCCCACCUUAAGAUGAGUGCUCUCACCGCUAUAAGCGGGUAAGGUCACGGUAAGAACAACCGUUAUAUAGGCAUUAAGUAUACGUGCAGUAAUGCAUUUAGCUGAGAUGUACUAACAGACCGAGGGCUUGAU